rnacentral:misc_RNA from 1 species
GAUCAUUACCGAGUGCAGGUCUGCCCCCGGGCAGGCCUAACCUCCCACCCGUGAAUACCUGACCAACGUUGCUUCGGCGGUGCGCCCCCCCCCCCCGGGGGUAGCCGCCGGAGACCACACCGAACCUCCUGUCUUUAGUGUUGUCUGAGCUUGAUAGCAAACCUAUUAAAACUUUCAACAAUGGAUCUCUUGGUUCCGGCAUCGAUGAAGAACGCAGCGAACUGCGAUAAGUAAUGUGAAUUGCAGAAUUCAGUGAAUCAUCGAGUCUUUGAACGCACAUUGCGCCCCCUGGCAUUCCGGGGGGCAUGCCUGUCCGAGCGUCAUUGCUGCCCUUCAAGCCCGGCUUGUGUGUUGGGUCGUCGUCCCCCCCGGGGGACGGGCCCGAAAGGCAGCGGCGGCACCGCGUCCGGUCCUCGAGCGUAUGGGGCUUUGUCACCCGCUCGAUUAGGGCCGGCCGGGCGCCAGCCGGCGUCUCCAACCUUCUAUUU